UACGUAGGGAGCAAGCGUUGUCCGGAAUCAUUGGGCGUAAAGCGCGCGUAGGUGGCCACAUAAGUCCGCUGUGAAAGUCAAAGGCUCAACCUUUGAAAGCCGGUGGAUACUGUGGGACUAGAGUACGGAAGAGGCGAGUGGAAUUCCUGGUGUAGCGGUGGAAUGCGCAGAUAUCAGGAGGAACACCAAUAGCGAAGGCAGCUCGCUGGGACGUUACUGACGCUGAGGAGCGAAAGCAUGGGGAGCGAACAGG
rnacentral:rRNA from 1 species